CGCGUAGGUGGUUGUGUAAGUCAGAUGUGAAAUCCCGAGGCUCAACUUCGGAACUGCAUCUGAUACUGCAUGACUCGAGUGCAGCAGAGGGAAACGGAAUUCCUGGUGUAGAGGUGAAAUUCGUAGAUAUCAGGAGGAACACCGGUGGCGAAGGCGGUUUCCUGGGCUGACACUGACACUGAGGCGCGAAAGCGUGGGUAGCAAACAGGAUUAGAUACCCUGGUAGUCCACGCUUUGAAACGGUGAAUACUGGGUGUGGGAGGUGUAAUGCCUUCUGUGCCGAAGCUAACGCGUUAAGUAUUCCGCCUGGGGAGUACGGCCGCAAGGUUGAA
rnacentral:rRNA from 1 species